rnacentral:rRNA from 1 species
UACGAAGGGGGCUAGCGUUGCUCGGAAUCACUGGGCGUAAAGGGCGCGUAGGCGGCCGUUCAAGUCGGGGGUGAAAGCCUGUGGCUCAACCACAGAAUGGCCCUCGAUACUGGAUGGCUCGAGACCGGAAGAGGUUGGUGGAACUGCGAGUGUAGAGGUGAAAUUCGUAGAUAUUCGCAAGAACACCAGUGGCGAAGGCGGCCAACUGGUCCGGUUCUGACGCUGAGGCGCGAAAAGCGUGGGGAGCAAACAGG